UUUUGAAUUCUAGUUUGAGGUCCGCUCUCUAUAUAAAGAGCUUUUAGUUUCAGUUGUAAGGCAUCAGAAAAUUGAGAGAAGAGUCUUCACUCAAGAAGUACGAGAGCCAUAGUAGCAGUGUGUUUUAUUUCAGCAAUAGUGUGCUCUCAUUACAAUUUGGAAGCAAUAUGGUGGAUCAACAUCGAUUGGACAUCAAAAUUAAAAAUGAAUCAAAGAUCGACUAGUGCUCUUAUUGGUGAUGCCGUGAUUGCUACUUUUUCGACCUUGUGGCGUGGUUUCCUCCACGCUUCUCACCGACAAUACAAUCACGGGUCGCUACAAUCACUAAGCCUUUAUAAAUAAACAUCUUCGCCAACAAGAAAUCUCCAAAUCAAUCUGCGACCAAGCAACCUUUUCAUUCAUCCCUUCCAUUUUGAAGCGAGAAGCUAGUGCUUCUUUCCUCAUCAUUGCUGCCUUCAUUAGCUGAGAGCUGAGAGUGAAAAAACGUACACACUACAGAGUCACUCAAAUCCAUCUUUCAUAAUCUUUGAAGCCGCUGAGAGCAGAGAACAAGGCUUUUGUUCGAUUUAAAUGGCAGAGAAGAUGAGAUUCUUGGGUUCUUGGAUUGAAGUUGCCCCUGCCAUUCUAAUACGUCCCCAUAAGACUUCAACUUCUCCUGACUUGGAGACGAUUACUGAAGAGUUGGAGCUCGAGGCAGAAGACCAUGACCAGAAGCCCGCCAAUUGAAUUUUUGUUAACUUAUAACUCCAUUAGAUUGUGCCACCACGUCACGAUCUAACAAGCUAGAGUGAAAAGUUAUAAUUGAAAAUCAUGCUUUAGCAAUAGUGUGUUCUUGGCAUGGAAGAACCUGAAUAAAACUAGGGAUUGACAUGGUUUGAUAAUGUUAUACGUGUUAGGGGGUCACUGGCUAAAUUUCAUGUAUCAUUUGAAAUUUGCAUGUGCCAUAAUUUAGUAUCCGUAAAGCAUGCGUUUA